UACGUAGGGACCAAGCGUUGUUCGGAUUUACUGGGCGUAAAGGGCGCGUAGGCGGCGUGGUAAGUCACUUGUGAAAUCUCCGAGCUUAACUCGGAACGGUCAAGUGAUACUGCUGUGCUAGAGUACAGAAGGGGCAAUCGGAAUUCUUGGUGUAGCGGUGAAAUGCGUAGAUAUCAAGAGGAACACCUGAGGUGAAGACGGGUUGCUGGGCUGAUACUGACGCUGAGGAGCGAAAGCGUGGGGAGCGAACAGG
rnacentral:rRNA from 1 species